rnacentral:rRNA from 1 species
CGAAGUAGCAAUACUUAGUGGCAGACGGGUGAGUAACAUGUGGGUAUCUUCCCUUUGGUGAGGAAUAACACGAGGAAACUUGUGCUAAUACCUCAUAAGUCUUUACAGAGAAAGCUUUAUGCGCCAUUGGAUGAGCCCGCACUUGAUUAGUUUGUUGGUGGGGUAAUAGCCUACCAAGACAAUGAUCAAUAGCUGAUUUGAGAGGAUGAUCAGCCACAUUGGGACUGAGACACGGCCCAAACUCCUACGGGAGGCAGCAGUAGGGAAUCUUGCACAAUGGAGGAAACUCUGAUGCAGCGAUGCCGCGUGAGUGAAGAAGGCCUUUGGGUUGUAAAGCUCUUUCGUCGGGGAAGAAAAUGACUGUACCCGAAUAAGAAGGUCCGGCUAACUUCGUGCCAGCAGCCGCGGUAAUACGAAGGGACCCAGCGUAGUUCGGAAUUACUGGGCUUAAAGAGUUCGUAGGUGGUUAAAAUAGUUGGUGGUGAAAUCCCAGAGCUUAACUCUGGAACUGCCAUCAAAGCUUUUUAGCUAGAGUAUGAUAGAGGAAAGUAGAAUUUCUAGUGUAGAGGUGAAAUUCGUAGAUAUUAGAAAGAAUACCAAUUGCGAAGGCAGCUUUCUGGGUCAUUACUGACACUGAGGAACGAAAGCACGGGUAGCGAAGAGGAUUAGAUACCCUCGUAGUCCAUGCCGUAAACGAUGUGUGCUAGACGUUGGAAAUUUUAUUUUCAGUGUCGCAGCGAAAGCGAUAAGCACACCGCCUGGGGAGUACGACCGCAAGG